UUCCUACGGGAGGCAGCAGUGGGGAAUUUUGGACAAUGGGCGCAAGCCUGAUCCAGCCAUUCCGCGUGAGUGAAGAAGGCCUUCGGGUUGUAAAGCUCUUUCGGCAGGAACGAAACGGUGACUCUAAUACGAGUGGCUAAUGACGGUACCUGAAGAAGAAGCACCGGCUAACUACGUGCCAGCAGCCGCGGUAAUACGUAGGGUGCGAGCGUUAAUCGGAAUUACUGGGCGUAAAGCGUGCGCAGGCGGUUUUGUAAGACAGAUGUGAAAUCCCCGGGCUUAACCUGGGAACUGCGUUUGUGACUGCAAGGCUCGAGUGCGGCAGAGGGGGGUGGAAUUCCGCGUGUAGCAGUGAAAUGCGUAGACAUGCGGAGGAACCCCGA
rnacentral:rRNA from 1 species